AUUGAACGCUGGCGGCAUGCCUUACACAUGCAAGUCGAACGGUAGAGGGGGCAACCCCUUGAGAGUGGCGAACGGGUGAGUAAUAUAUCGGAACGUGCCCAGUCGUGGGGAUAACGUAGCGAAAGUUACGCUAAUACCGCAUACGAUCUAAGGAUGAAAGCGGGGGAUCGCAAGACCUCGCGCGAUUGGAGCGGCCGAUAUCAGAUUAGGUAGUUGGUGGGGUAAAGGCUCACCAAGCCAACGAUCUGUAGCUGGUCUGAGAGGACGACCAGCCACACUGGGACUGAGACACGGCCCAGACUCCUACGGGAGGCAGCAGUGGGGAAUUUUGGACAAUGGGCGCAAGCCUGAUCCAGCAAUGCCGCGUGCAGGAUGAAGGCCUCG
rnacentral:rRNA from 1 species